AACGAACGCUGGCGGCAUGCCUAGCACAUGCAAGUCGAACGCGUGUAGCAAUACACGAGUGGCGGACGGGUGAGUAACGCGUGGGAACCUGCCCAAUGGUAGGGAAUAACUGCGGGAAACUGCAGCUAAUACCCUAUGCUCCCUACGGGGAAGAUUAUCGCCAUUGGAGGGGCCCGCGUCGGAUUAGCUAGUUGGCGGGGUAACGGGCCCACCAAGGCUACGAUCCGUAGCUGG
rnacentral:rRNA from 1 species